AGUUUUAAUAAUUUAAACUAAAAUAACGGUCUUGUAAAUCGUAAAUAAGAAUUACUCUUUUAAAACUUC
rnacentral:tRNA from 1 species